GAGGGUAUAGCCCAGGGGUAGAGCACAUGCCUAGCAUGCAUGAGGUCCUGGGUUCCAGCCCCAGUACUGCCA
rnacentral:tRNA from 1 species